CGUUUAACCAAUCAUAGGCCAGCAUAGCCUGUAUAUAAGUCCUUGCUGGGUGUGUGUAUUCCUCUUUCUUUGGUGCUUUAAGUCCUGUAACAUCAGGAAUAUGAUGAAUUUUCCAAACUUGAACAUUGGUAACUUGAACGAUCGUAACUUGGCUUGUGGCUUGAAGGGGUCCUUUCAGCCCGACUUCCGAAUCCUUUUAUGCUGAAAAAGAUAGAAAUAGGUGAAAGGUGGUGGAAUUGAACUGUUGUCCACAUGUAAGCUUAGCGAUCUAUCU